rnacentral:rRNA from 1 species
UGUGACCUCAAAUCAGGUAGGACUACCCGCUGAACUUAAGCAUAUCAAUAAGCGGAGGAAAAGAAACUAACAAGGAUUCCCCUAGUAACUGCGAGUGAAGCGGGAAAAGCUCAAAUUUAAAAUCUGGCAGUCUUUGGCUGUCCGAGUUGUAAACUAGAGAAGUGUUAUCCGCGCUGGACCGUGUACAAGUCUCCUGGAAUGGAGCGUCAUAGAGGGUGAGAAUCCCGUCUUUGACAUGGACUACCAGGGCUUUGUGAUGCGCUCUCAAAGAGUCGGGUUGUUUGGGAAUGCAGCUCAAAAUGGGUGGUAAAUUCCAUCUAAAGCUAAAUAUUGGCGAGAGACCGAUAGCGAACAAGUACCGUGAGGGAAAGAUGAAAAGAACUUUGGAAAGAGAGUUAAACAGUACGUGAAAUUGCUGAAAGGGAAACGCUUGAAGUCAGUCGCGUUAUCCAGGGAUCAACCUUGCUUUUGCUUGGUGUACUUUCUGGUUGACGGGUCAGCAUCAAUUUUGACUGUUGGAAAAAGAUUAGGGGAAUGUGACAUCUUCGGAUGUGUUAUAGCCCUUGGUUGCAUACAAUGGUUGGGAUUGAGGAACUCAGCACGCCGCAAGGCCGGGUAAUCUUACCACGUACGUGCUUCGGAUGCUGGCAUAAUUGCUUUAAUCGACCCGUCUUGAAACACGGACCAAGGAGUCUAACAUGCCUGCGACUCUUUGGGUGGAAAACCCGAGCGCGUAAUGAAAGUGAAAGUUGAGAUCCCUGUCGUGGGGACCAUGGACGCCCGGACCAGACCUUUUGUGACGGUUCCGCGCUAGAGCAUCUAUGUCGGGACCCGAAAGAUGGUGAACUAUGCCUGAAUAGGGUGAAGCCAGAGGAAACUGUGGUGGAGGCUCGUACCGAUUCUGACGUGCAAAUCGAUCGUCAAAUCUGGGUAUAGGGGCGAAAG